rnacentral:rRNA from 1 species
GACAGAGGGUGCAAGCGUUGUUCGGAAUUAUUGGGCGUAAAGCGCGCGUAGGCGGCCAGGUCAGUCGACUGUGGAAUCCCGUGGCUUAACCAUGGAAGUGCAUUCGAAACUACCCGGCUCGAGGGUCGGAGAGGGUGGUGGAAUUCCCAGUGUAGAGGUGAAAUUCGUAGAUAUUCGCAAGAACACCAGUGGCGAAGGCGGCUCACUGGCCCGGUACUGACGCUGAGGUGCGAAAGCGUGGGGAGCAAACAGG